AUAUUGGUAACUCAGUGGUAGAGUGCAUGCGUUGUGUGUAUGACGUCCUCGGUUCAAAUCCCAGCUGCUCCC
rnacentral:tRNA from 1 species